rfam:Rasamsonia emersonii CBS 393.64 ctg1118621760016, whole genome shotgun sequence.
ACUGUCUAAUUAAAACAUAGCAUUGCGAUGGCCAGAAAACGGUGUUUACGCUAUGUGAUUUCUGCCCGGUGCUCUGAAUGCCAAAGUGAAGAAAUUCAACCAAGCGCGGGUAAACGGCAGAAGUAACUAUGACUCGACAAGCACUUCGUGGGAUGGCUACUGAAGUAAGGGUCAA